ACUCAAAGGAAUUGACGGGGGCCCGCACAAGCGGUGGAGCAUGUGGUUUAAUUCGACGCAACGCGAAGAACCUUACCUGGGCUCGAAAUGUACAGGAAUUACUUGGAAACAGGUACGCCCAGCAAUGGGCCUGUAUAUAGGUGCUGCAUGGCUGUCGUCAGCUCGUGUCGUGAGAUGUUGGGUUAAGUCCCGCAACGAGCGCAACCCUUAUCUCCAGUUGCUACCAUUUAGUUGAGCACUCUGGCGAAACCGCCUCGGAUAACGGGGAGGAAGGUGGGGAUGACGUCAAGUCCUCAUGGCCUUUAUGUCCAGGGCUACACACGUGCUACAAUGGCCGGUACAAACCGCUGCGAACCCGCGAGGGGGAGCCAAUCGGAAAAAGCCGGCCUCAGUUCGGAUUGGAGUCUGCAACUCGACUCCAUGAAGCUGGAAUCGCUAGUAAUCGCAGAUCAGAAUGCUGCGGUGAAUACGUUCCCGGGCCUUGUACACACCGCCCGU
rnacentral:rRNA from 1 species